GACGAACGCUGGCGGCGUGCCUAACACAUGCAAGUCGAGCGGAGAUACAUUGAAGAUUUAUCGGAUAUGUAUCUUAGCGGCGGACGGGUGAGUAACGCGUGGGUAACCUGCCUUAUACAGGGGGAUAACACAGGGAAACUUGUGCUAAUACCGCAUAAUAUCAUUGUAUGGCAUCAUGUGAUGAUCAAAGGAGCAAUCCGGUAUAAGAUGGACCCGCGUCCAAUUAGCUAGUUGGUGGUGUAACGGACCACCAAGGCGACGAUUGGUAGCCGAACUGAGAGGUUGAUCGGCCACAUUGGGACUGAGACACGGCCCAGACUCCUACGGGAGGCAGCAGUGGGGAAUAUUGCACAAUGGGGGAAACCCUGAUGCAGCAACGCCGCGUGAAGGAUGAAGGUUUUCGGAUCGUAAACUUCUUUGAUGAGGGACGAAAUAAUGACGGUACCUCAAGAACAAGCCACGGCUAACUACGUGCCAGCAGCCGCGGUUAAACACG
rnacentral:rRNA from 1 species